GACGAACGCUGGCGGCGUGCUUAACACAUGCAAGUCGAACGGAAAGGCCCUGCUUUUGUGGGGUGCUCGAGUGGCGAACGGGUGGGUAACACGUGAGUAACCUGCCCUUGACUUUGGGAUAACUUCAGGAAACUGGGGCCAAUACCGGAUAGGAGCUCCUGCUGCAUGGUGGGGGUUGGAAAGUUUCGGCGGUUGGGGAUGGACUCGCGGCUUAUCAGCUUGUUGGUGGGGUAGUGGCUUACCAAGGCUUUGACGGGUAGCCGGCCUGAGAGGGUGACCGGCCACAUUGGGACUGAGAUACGGCCCAGACUCCUACGGGAGGCAGCAGUGGGGAAUAUUGCACAAUGGGCGGAAGCCUGAUGCAGCAACGCCGCGUGCGGGAUGACGGCCUUCGGGUUGUAAACCGCUUUCGCCUGUGACGAAGCGUGAGUGACGGUAAUGGGUAAAGAAGCACCGGCUAACUACGUG
rnacentral:rRNA from 1 species